UCGAGAGGCUUCGGCAAUGGGGGAAACCCUGACCGAGCGACGCCGCGUGAAGGAUGAAGGCCCUUGGGUUGUAAACUUCUUUUGUUGGGGAAGAAAUGCGAUCAGGUAAACAAUCUGGUCGUUUGACGGUACCCGACGAAUAAGCUCCGGCUAACUCCGUGCCAGCAGCCGCGGUAACACGGGGGGAGCAAGCGUUGUUCGGAAUCACUGGGCGUAAAGGGCGUGUAGGCGGCCCGAUUAGUGGGAUGUGAAAUGCCCCGGCUCACCCGGGGACCUGCAUCCCAAACUGUCGGGCUUGAGUAUGGGAGAGGAUGAGGGAAUUCCUGGUGUAGCGGUGAAAUGCGUAGAUAUCAGGAGGAACACCGGUGGCGAAGGCGCUCAUCUGGCCCAAUACUGACGCUGAGGCGCGAAAGCUGGGGAAGCAA
rnacentral:rRNA from 1 species